rnacentral:misc_RNA from 1 species
AAAUAUCUCAAAACAGAAUGUGUAAACGACAGAAGAAAUGAAAUGACCAUGAAACGCUCACAUCACAUGGCACGCUUUGAACCACCUAACCAAGCUUUUCCGGACCAAGUAGCUGCAUCCGACCCAAGGCGUAGCUCAUCUUCUCCUUAUACAUAUGUGCACGUCAAAAGCCAAAACCAGAGCCACACAUUCACCAAACUCACACAAAACACUCUUUCUUUCUUGGGUUCCUCUGCUAGCUAUCCUUGGCCAUUCUAGUUUCUCCAUCGGCCAUGGCUGGGACUGGAGUUUUUGCAGAGAUUUUGGAUGGAGAUGUUUACAAGUAUUACUCUGAUGGAGAGUGGAAAAAGUCUUCUUCUGGCAAAACUGUUGCCAUCAUCAAUCCCACUACAAGAAAGACUCAGUACAAGGUUCAAGCUUGCAGCCAAGCAGAGGUUAACAAGGUAAUGGAAUCAGCCAAAAUUGGGCAGAAAGCUUGGGCUAGAACUCCACUUUGGAAGAGAGCAGAACUCCUUCACAAGGCUGCUGCUAUCCUGAAAGAGCACAAGGCUCCAAUUGCUGAGUGCCUGGUGAAAGAAAUUGCAAAACCAGCCAAAGAUGCAGUCUCUGAGGUUGUGAGGUCUGGGGAUCUUGUUUCCUACACUGCUGAAGAAGGAGUAAGGAUUCUGGGAGAGGGCAAGUUCUUGGUCUCUGAUAGUUUUCCUGGCAAUGAGAGGACAAAAUACUGCCUCACUUCUAAGAUCCCCCUUGGAGUGAUUUUAGCCAUUCCACCAUUUAACUAUCCUGUCAACCUUGCUGUCUCAAAGAUUGCUCCUGCAUUGAUUGCUGGAAACUCCCUUGUCCUCAAGCCUCCAACUCAGGUAUCUUCUCAAACUUGUUGCCUCAGUACCGUACCAAUGAGCUUUGACAAGUGAUAUUGAAGUCAAUUUCAGAGCUGUGAGGUUAUAAGUUCGAACCCCAGUUAGAGGGGACAAAAGUAUUCAUUUUGUUCUCCAUAAAUGGUGUAACUAGCUUACUUUCAGGGUGCUGUCUCUUGCCUGCAUAUGGUUCACUGCUUUCACUUAGCUGGUUUUCCCAAAGGCCUCAUCAGUUGUGUCACUGGGAAAGGUUCUGAGAUUGGUGACUUCCUUACUAUGCAUCCUGGUGUCAACUGUAUAAGCUUCACCGGUGGAGACACUGGUAUUGCAAUUUCGAAGAAGGCAGGAAUGAUCCCUCUUCAGAUGGAGUUGGGAGGAAAAGAUGCUUGCAUUGUGCUGGAGGAUGCUGAUCUUGAUUUGGUUGCUGCAAAUAUUAUCAAAGGAGGUUUUUCAUACAGUGGCCAAAGAUGCACUGCAAUAAAGGUGGUGUUGGUGAUGGAAACUGUGGCUGAUGCUCUAGUAGAGAAGGUGAAUGCGAGAGUUGCAAAACUAAGAGUUGGGCCGCCAGAGGACGACUGUGACAUCACUCCAGUGGUUACAGAAUCAUCUGCUAAUUUCAUCGAAGGACUUGUUACGGAUGCUAAAGAGAAAGGAGCAACGUUUUGCCAGGAAUACAAGAGAGAUGGAAACCUCAUUUGGCCUCUGCUUCUAGAUAAUGUAAGACCUGAUAUGAGGAUUGCGUGGGAAGAACCAUUUGGGCCUGUUCUUCCCGUUAUAAGGAUAAAUUCUGUUGAAGAAGGAAUCCACCAUUGCAAUGCUAGCAAUUUCGGGCUCCAGGGUUGUGUGUUCACAAAGGACAUCAACAAAGCUGUGUUGAUAAGUGAUGCAAUGGAGACAGGAACAGUUCAAAUCAACUCUGCACCAGCUCGUGGACCAGAUCAUUUUCCAUUCCAGGGUUUGAAGGACAGUGGAAUUGGAUCACAAGGCAUCACCAACAGCAUUAACAUGAUGACCAAAGUCAAGAGCACUGUUAUCAACUUACCAAGCCCUUCUUACUCCAUGGGUUAGUAUUGUCCAUAUUAGAAUUAGAGAACCAAUAAUCACAAGUAUUCUAGCUGAGUAUUAAUUAGUAAGAUUUGCAGACAAAAAUUUGUCUUUAGACUUGUAUUAUAUGCAUUCUCUUCAUCAAUCAAUAGUUAAGAGUGUAACAAAUAAAUAAAUUAAAUCUUUAAAAAAAGCUACUUAAGUCUUCAGAAUUUUUUUUUCCCAAAGAGGAAAUGCCAUUAAUUUAGUGAGGAAUUAUCAAAGAAAGUUGUUGCUGAUUGAAUGUUGAUCAUUUUGCUGUACACUUCAAAAUUUCCAUCCUCAUAUUUUGGGAUUGGCAGCCUUUUAGACCCUUUUGUCUUCCCAUGCCUAUUCAGGAUUCUCUUUUACAAGUAAAAUUUGAAGAGAAGAAAAGAGCAGCAAAGGGAAAAAGUAGCUGUUUAAAUCAGUUUACUAUAUCACAUGCCUAAGGUAAAAGCAUCCUUUUUUUUCUUUCUUUUUCUUUUUCAUCAUUGCUUUGUAAACUUGACGGUGCUGAUUUGAACCCAUUUCACCCAUUGCUAUUUUGACAGCUUCCAACAGAAUAUCAUAAAUUACUUUAGUAUCAUCAACAUAUUAACUUUAAUAAAAUUUUUCAUUGAGUUAGUUCAUAUCUUUAAAGAGGGUGGCUUGGGUUUAAUGCUAAAAUUACUCCAUUUGUAAUUUGGAGUUAAUAGGUAGGAGUGUACAAAGAAAUCGUCAAACCGAUCCAUUGAUCAAUCCGAAUAAAUUGAAAUCAAAUAUUAGUUAUAGUUUGAAGAAGAUUAUAAAAUGAAUUUUUUAUUUGAAUUUCAUAUUAACAUGGUAAAAGUUCAACCCAAACCGAACCCAUAUAUAUAUAAGAAACACGUGAAUAACCUUAUUUCAUUUUUUUAUUUUUAUUUAUUUCUAUUGAAUAAUACAUUUUAAAUUAAUAUUUAUUUUUCAAUUAGUGUAUGAUAAUUUAUAUAUAAAAAAAGUUUAAUAAAAAUUGAAUUAUAAAAUUUAAAAAUUGUUAAAAGAAAUUGAACAUGUGUGAUUUUAUAUACUACUGUGGAGGCUGUUGUGGUGUAACAAUUAGAUACAUGUACCUAAGCACAGUUUAGCAUGGCUGCAUUUCCGACUUCAAUGGCCGUAUUUUAGUAGAGGGGAGUAAAGCUUGUUGCCUGUCGAGAUGUUGGGUCACCACAUGAAACAGCCACAAAUAUAGGGCUGAAAUUGACAAUUUCAAGACUUCUAAGUGCUGUUUCUAUCUUUGACCAAGAAGUAUUUGCAUUAUGGCAUAUAUUCUCUUGCUAAACCCUUGCACGGCUUCAAAGUAAAUCAUGUUAAACAAGACUUUAACAAGGUAGUUUAUGAGUUGUCAAGGUAGAAAAUCAUGGUUUUGAAGCUAACUCAGCUGGUCGACUUUGAUAUGACCAACAAAAGUAAACAUUGAUGAGGAGUUGUUUGAAACAAAAGCAACAAAUCAAGAGUGAAUCAGCAAGAAAAUCCUCCAUUGCAGAAACUACCAGAGAAUUUGGAUUCCACAAAAUUCCCUGUACAGAAAAUUGCAAAUUUCAAAAUCUCCAGCUGAGAAAGCAUUUGGCUUGAGAAACUGAAACAAAUCCCCAAAACGGAACAAGGUCCUUAAGGGCAAACUUGCUCCACCAACAAAGAAAAUCUAUUGUCUGGAAGCUGUGCAGGUUAAGGUUUUUGGAUCAGCAAGCCAGACAUUCCAGAAAAAUCUAUUGACCUCCCUACUUUGAGCUCAAGACAACAUCUCCAUUCAUAGAUUUAGCUAGCUCUUUGGCUUUUUCAUCAUUAAAACCUAGGGUUGCCAAAAUCUUGUGACCUGCGGAUUCCGUUUCUGACCAAAUCCCUAGAAGUAUAUGAGUAGUGGUUAUUUCUCCAUCAUCACCUGUCACUUGCACAUGAAAACAAUCUAAUAAAGACACCAAAAACACAAACAUUAAGAAAUAAAUGCUUGCACAUGUAACAUCAAGAUGGAUUAAUGUAAUAACAAUGGCAUGCUACAUGAUGCAUAUUCUAUCUUCAGUCACCACAAGUAAACUCAUGCUGACUCUUUAAUGUAGAAAAACUAAGGGUCUAUUUGGAUGAGCGUGAGGGAGAGGUAAAUAAAGGUAAGAAGGAGUAAGUAAUUAUUUUAUCUUUGUUUGGGAAGAUGUAAGUUAAUGGAGGGUAAGGGUAAGUAAGGAUAAGCCUUACCCUACCUUACACCUCAAAUCUCAAUUUUUUCACACUCCAAAUUGGGGGUGUAAGGAGGGAUAAGGAGAAAGAGAGGAUAGUUAUGCAUAUUUCUAUUUCUAUAGUCCUUAAAUUUACUCCUCCUUCACCUCUUCCCAAAUAUAAAGAAUAUACAUUACUUCUUCUUACCUUUCCAUUAAUUCACUUCUUCCUAAAUAUGAAAUUUUUUUAUUGUAACUCUCCUUAUCCUUCUCCUUUCUUACCCUUUCUUACCCUUCCAUUAUUUAACAUUUCCUCACUAAGGGUCUGUUUGGAUUAAGGUGAGGGAGAAAUAAAUAAAGAUAAGGAGAGAUAAGUAACUAUCUUAUUCCUAUUUGGGAGAUGUGAGGUAAUGGAAAGGAAAAGGUAAGUAAGAGUAAGCCUUACCCUCCAUUACCCCUUAAAUCUCAAUUUCUCUUAUAUCCCAAAUUGGUGCAUAAGGAAGGAUAAAAAAGGAGAGAUAAGAGUAAUGAAUGAAUAUUUCUAUUUAUACACCCUUUACCCCUCUUUCGCCUCUUCCUAAACAUAAAAAAUAUAGACUAUCUUUCCUUAUUUUUCCAUUAAUUCACUCCUUCCAAAACAUGAGAUUUUUUUUAUUAUAACUCUCCUUCCCCUUCCUUACCCUUCCUUACCCUUCCAUUACUUACACUUUCCUCACCCCAUCCAAACAAAUCCUAAGGCGAAAAUUGAAGGGAAGCUGAAAAACAUCAAUGGCCAACCAAAACAACAUACCAUAAGCCCACAACACAGAUUAGAUAAUUGGAUAAAUUUAAAACACCCAGCAAAAAAUUUUGCAUAAACUAUUAUGGAGAAAUUGUUGAACUAAAUCAGAAAAAGGAAAUUUCAAAGACUCUUGACUUACAUGCAAUACAAAUUAACUUGAGUUACUUGAUCUAUGCAUUUGCGACCCUGAAACUCAACAAGAAAACACAAAAUUCCAGGGAAUCUCCAUCUCCCAUUAUGAAAUUCACAUUCAACAUUUCUCCCAAGCAU